GAUGAACGCUGGCGGCGUGCCUAAUACAUGCAAGUCGAGCGAACGGACGAGAAGCUUGCUUCUCUGAUGUUAGCGGCGGACGGGUGAGUAACACGUGGAUAACCUACCUAUAAGACUGGGAUAACUUCGGGAAACCGGAGCUAAUACCGGAUGAUAUUUUGAACCGCAUGGUUCAAAAGUGAAAGACGGUCUUGCUGUCACUUAUAGAUGGAUCCGCGCUGCAUUAGCUAGUUGGUAAGGUAACGGCUUACCAAGGCAACGAUGCAUAGCCGACCUGAGAGGGUGAUCGGCCACACUGGAACUGAGACGCGGUCCAGACUCCUACGGGAGGCAGCAGUAGGGAAUCUUCCGCAAUGGGCGAAAGCCUGACGGAGCAACGCCGCGUGAGUGAUGAAGGUCUUCGAAUCGUAAAACUCUGUUAUUAGGGAAGAACAUAUGUGUAAGUAACUGUGCACAUCUUGACGGUACCUAAUCAGAAAGCCACGGCUAACUACGUG
rnacentral:rRNA from 1 species